UCCGUAGGUGAACCUGCGGAAGGAUCAUAGUAAUCGUCUUUGACGUUCGCUUUUCCGUCGUCCUCGGGACGUUAAGGUGCUCUGGUCGAGGAUAAGCGACCCCUCUGACCGAGGUGAAACCCGUCUCUCUGUGUUACCUCGAGAAACUCUUUUUUCCGAGGCACACGUUAAAGAUUGUUCCGCGUUGUGAGUCUAACAUCGGUUGUAUAAACUUUUUACAACCGGUAGCGCUGGAUCCCUUGGCACGUCAUUCGAUGAAGACCGUUGCAAAUUGCGAUAAAGUGAUGUGAUGCGCAAGUCCACCACUUAUACGUGAAUCAUCGAGUUGUUGAACGCAUUGCACCGCGCCCUAAUCCGGCUGCGGUAUGCCCCUUUGAGCGUCAUUGUAUCCCUUCGGGAGUCCUUUUACAAGGACCCGAGCUCGGAGUCCUCGGUCCUCUCUGGAUCGUGUUCUCUCAGAUGCCUCGCGCCGAUCGCCUGAUGGGUCCUCUAAUGCCUAAGCGUGGAGUUCCUUCAGUCCGAGAUGCGCUUGACCGGGUCUUGAGCCUGCGUCAUCAAGUCUGCCUAACCGGCGGUACUACAACGCAUGACCUCAUUGGGGUAGGACAACCCGCUAGACUUAAGCAUAUUUAAUCAGNCGGANGAAAAAGAAACUAACCAGGAUUCCCCUCAGUAACUGCGAGUGAAGCGGGGAUCGGCUCAAUGUGUGAAUCUGGCUUGGGGGUACGUYCCCGGGUUCCGAGUUGUGCACCUACGGAUGCUUCNUUCUGCGUUUGUAAAAGGCGGUGGAAAGUUCCGUUGAAAACACGGCACCUCAGAGGGUCACAGUCCUGUACCCACCUGCCUGCACUCGCGCCAAUGACAAGUGCUCCUCGAGUCGCGUAGUUUUGUAAUGCUGCGCCAAGUGGGAGGUAGAGACCUUCUAAGGCUAAAUAUGAUGACGUGACCGAUAGUUCACAAGUACCGCGAGGGAAAGGUGAAAAGUAACCAUGUAGAAUGGGUUGAAAGAGAAGUGAAAGUGCUACCGGGAUAAGGGCAUGUGACAGCUGGUGUCUGUAGGGCGUGCUUCAGUGCUGUCCUUCUAGAACGGUGUGCGGAUGUGUUCGAUGGGGAGACAAGGCUGUCUGGGAAUGUGGCUCAACCUUCGGGAUGAGUGUUAUAGCCCGGCGUGCAAAAGAACCCCAUGACACAUGUGAACUGUGCAUCUUGCUGUGGCAUGCCUCCCGUCUCGAAACACGGACCAAGGAGUGCAUCUUGCAUGCGAGUCGAAGGGGGUUGGAAUCCCUGGAGGCGUAGCGAAAGCGAAAGACUGUGAAUUGUUGGCAGGCCCUUGUGGCCAGAUGGGAUGAUAAAUCAGCAGCGACCCGCUUUGUGCGAGGGAGAGCAUGCAGGAUACGACCCGAAAGAUGGUGAGCUAUGCUUGGACAAGGUGAAGCCAGUGGAAACGCUGGUGGAGGCCUGAAGCGGUUCUGACGUGCAAAUCGAUCGUGUGAUCUAAGUAUAGGGGCGAAAGACCUAUCGAACCGUCUAAUGGCUGGUUCCCCCCGAAGUUUCCCUCAGGAUAGC
rnacentral:rRNA from 1 species